rfam:Zea mays cultivar B73 chromosome 5, whole genome shotgun sequence.
UCUGAGUGGAAUGUUGUCUGGUUCAAGGUCUUUUGCUUUGUGAUCCAUCUGUGUAGAGCUUCUAAGUAUUCCUUGGAUCUGCAAGAUCUCGGACCAGGCUUCAUUCCCCUCAGA